GAUGAGAGAACUUACGACGCUGCCUCGAAGACCGGUGGACCUAACACUUAUAUCAGGAACGAGGAAGAGUAUUCUCACGACGCUAACAAUGGUUUCAAGAAAGCUAUUGAUUCGACGCUAACAAUGGUUUGAAGAAAGCUAUUGAUUUAUGUGAGGAAGUGAAGGCAAAUCAUCCAAAAAUAUCAUAUACUGACCUUUAUCAGGAAGUAUGGAACCAGGAUUCGAGCGUGUAAACCAAUGUUACUUCAAUCUAUGUUGGUGCUGAAAC